AAAAUAAUUACUUUAAUAUUAAGUAAAAACUAUUACUUUUAAGUAACUUUAAAAGAAGUUUUAAAAUUA
rnacentral:tRNA from 1 species